rnacentral:snRNA from 1 species
GUGCUCACUUUGGCAGCAAAUACACUAAAAUUGGAACAAUACGGAGAAGAUUAGCAUGACCACUGCACAAGAUGUCUUGCAAUUUUUAAAAUUUUCACUUUAUAUAU